CAACUACCACUCCAACAACUACAACUACCACUCCAACAACUACAAUUAUCACUCCAACAACAACUGCCAUUCCAACUACGACAACUGUUGAAACGACUACGGUAGCCACCAGUCAGCCGAAUACUGUUCAGAGAGCAUGUUCGAUCAGGAUUGAGGUUGUCAUAUCUCGCACGAUAGACCUCACCAAUUCCGGUAGUCAAGGUUACCUGUUAACAAUUCAAACCGCCCGCGCUGCUCUGAUCGUUUUGUACAGAAAUGUUGCUGGAUUCAUUGACGUCAUUGUCAUCUC